AGAGCGAACGCUGGCGGCAGGCUUAACACAUGCAAGUCGAGCGGGCGUAGCAAUACGUCAGCGGCAGACGGGUGAGUAACGCGUGGGAACGUACCUUUUGGUUCGGAACAACCCAGGGAAACUUGGGCUAAUACCGGAUAAGCCCUUACGGGGAAAGAUUUAUCGCCGAAAGAUCGGCCCGCGUCUGAUUAGCUAGUUGGUGAGGUAAUGGCUCACCAAGGCGACGAUCAGUAGCUGGUCUGAGAGGAUGAUCAGCCACAUUGGGACUGAGACACGGCCCAAACUCCUACGGGAGGCAGCAGUGGGGAAUAUUGGACAAUGGGCGCAAGCCUGAUCCAGCCAUGCCGCGUGAGUGAUGAAGGCCCUAGGGUUGUAAAGCUCUUUUGUGCGGGAAGAUAAUGACGGUACCGCAAGAAUAACGCCCGGACUAACUUCGCGCCAGCAGCCGC
rnacentral:rRNA from 1 species